rnacentral:rRNA from 1 species
CCAGAAAGCCACGGCUAACUACGUGCCAGCAGCCGCGGUAAUACGUAGGUGGCAAGCGUUGUCCGGAUUUAUUGGGCGUAAAGCGAGCGCAGGCGGUUUUUUAAGUCUGAUGUGAAAGCCUUCGGCUCAAACCGAAGAAAGUGCAUCGGAAACUGGGAAACUUGAGUGCAGAAGAGGACAGUGGAACUCCAUGUGUAGCGGUGAAAUGCGUAGAUAUAUGGAAGAACACCAGUGGCGAAGGCGGCUGUCUGGUCUGUAACUGACGCUGAGGCUCGAAAGUAUGGGUAGCAAACAGGAUUAGAUACCCUGGUAGUCCAUACCGUAAACGAUGAAUGGCUAAGUGUUGGAGGGUUUCCGCCCUUCAGUGCUGCAGCUAACGCAUUAAGCAUUCCGCCUGGGGAGUACGGCCGCAAGGCUGAAACUCAAAGGAAUUGACGGGGGCCCGCACAAGCGGUGGAGCAUGUGGUUUAAUUCGAAGCUACGCGAAGAACCUUACCAGGUCUUGACAUACUAUGCAAAUCUAAGAGAUUAGACGUUCCCUUCGGGGACAUGGAUACAGGUGGUGCAUGGUUGUCGUCAGCUCGUGUCGUGAGAUGUUGGGUUAAGUCCCGCAACCAGCGCAACCCUUAUUAUCAGUUGCCAGCAUUAAGUUGGGCACUCUGGUGAGACUGCCGGUGACAAACCGGAGGAAGGUGGGGAUGACGUCAAAUCAUCAUGCCCCUUAUGACCUGGGCUACACACGUGCUACAAUGGAUGGUACAACGAGUUGCGAACUCGCGAGAGUAAGCUAAUCUCUUAAAGCCAUUCUCAGUUCGGAUUGUAGGCUGCAACUCGCCUACAUGAAGUCGGAAUCGCUAGUAAUCGCGGAUCAGCAUGCCGCGGUGAAUACGUUCCCGGGCCUUGUACACACCGCCCGUCACACCAUGAGAGUUUGUAACACCCAAAGUCGGUGGGGUAACCUUUUAGGAACCAGCCGCCUAAGGUGGGACAGAUGAUUAGGGUGAAGUCGUA